rnacentral:lncRNA from 1 species
UUGAUGAUCCGAAGCAUCCAAAGAAUCGACAGACAUCGAUCGAAGGAGUUCAAUCAGCAUCCAUCGUCAAAAAGGCUCUACAACGAGCUAGCACUCGUGAGGAGUCGCUCAGAUCGAGAGCUUCGUGUGGACGAUCCGCAGAGGCCAGACACGCUGUGUGGCUACAUCACGAUGAUCAGACUCUCUCGACGGUGAUCAGAUUACGAUGA